rnacentral:rRNA from 1 species
GCUUUGUUAGUUUUCGGUUAAAUCCAUAUGCUCAACAUAUGGGCUGCCGGGAAUACUGCAUAGCUAGGGAGUGGGAGAGGUAGACGGUACUCCGUAGGAAGGGGUAAAAUCCUUUGAUCUAUGGAUGACCACCUGUGGCGAAGGCGGUCUACCAGAACACGUCCGACGGUGAGGGAUGAAAGCUGGGGGAGCAAACCGGAUUAGAUACCCGGGUAGUCCCAGCUGUAAACUAUGCAAACUCAGUGAUGCAUUGGCUUGUGGCCAGUGCAGUGCCGCAGAGAAGUCGUUAAGUUUGCCGCCUGGGAAGUACGUACGCAAGUAUGAAACUUAAAGGAAUUGGCGGGGGAGCACCACAAGGGGUGAAGCCUGCGGUUCAAUUGGAGUCAACGCCAGAAAUCUUACCCGGAGAGACAGCAGAAUGAAGGUCAAGCUGAAGACUUUACCAGACAAGCUGAGAGGUGGUGCAUGGCCGUCGUCAGCUCGUGCCGUGAGAUGUCCUGUUAAGUCAGGUAACGAGCGAGAUCCCUGCCUCUAGUUGCCACCAUUACUCUCAGGAGUAGUGGGGCGAAUUAGCGGGACCGCUGCAGUUAAUGCGGAGGAAGGAAGGGGCCACGGCAGGUCAGUAUGCCCCGAAACUCUGGGGCCACACGCGGGCUGCAAUGGUAGUGACAAUGGGUCCCGAAUCCGAAAGGAGGAGGUAAUCCUCAAACGCUACCACAGUUAUGACUGAGGGCUGUAACUCGCCCUCACGAAUAUGGAAUCCCUAGUAACUGCGUGUCAUUACCGCGCGGUGAAUACGUCCCUGCUCCUUGCACACACCGCCCGU